AGAGUUUGAUCAUGGCUCAGGAUGAACGCUGGCGGCGUGCCUAAUACAUGCAAGUCGAGCGGUAAGGCCUCUUCGGAGGUACACGAGCGGCGGACGGCUGAGUAACACGUAGGAACGUACCCCAAACUGAGGGAUAAGCACCAGAAAUGGUGUCUAAUACCGCAUGUGCUCUUCGGAGUAAAGCUACGGCGGUUUGGGAGCGGCCUGCGCAUGAUUAGUUUGUUGGUGAGGUAAUGGCUUACCAAGACUACGAUCAUUAGCUGGUCUGAGAGGAUGACCAGCCAGACUGGAACUGAGAACGGUCCAGACUCCUACGGGAGGCAGCAGUAGGGAAUUUUCCACAAUGGACGAAAGUCUGAUGGAGCAACGCCGCGUGCAGGAUGAAGGUUUUAGGAUUGUAAACUGCUUUUAUCUGUGACGAAUAUGACGGUAGCAGAUGAAUAAGGAUCGGCUAACUCCGUGCCAGCAGCCGCGGUCAUACGGAGGAUCCAAGCGUUAUCCGGAAUUACUGGGCGUAAAGAGUUGCGUAGGUGGCAUUGUAAGUAGAUAGUGAAAGCGUUCGGCUCAACCGGAUAAACAUUAUCUAAACUGCAAAGCUAGAGGGCGAGAGAGGUUACUGGAAUUUCUAGUGUAGGGGUAAAAUCCGUUGAUAUUAGAAAGAACACCGAUGGCGUAGGCAGGUAACUGGCUCGUCCCUGACACUAAGGCACGAAAGCGUGGGGAGCAAACAGGAUUAGAUACCCCCGUAGUCC
rnacentral:rRNA from 1 species